AUUGAACGCUGGCGGCAGGCCUAACACAUGCAAGUCGAACGAGUGGCGGACGGGUGAGUAAUGUCUGGGAAACUGCCCGAUGGAGGGGGAUAACUACUGGAAACGGUAGCUAAUACCGCAUACCAUCGGAUGUGCCCAGAUGGGAUUAGCUAGUAGGUGGGGUAACGGCUCACCUAGGCGACGAUCCCUAGCUGGUCUGAGAGGAUGACCAGCCACACGGGAACUGAGACACGGUCCAGACUCCUACGGGAGGCAGCAGUGGGGAAUGUGGCACAAGGGGCGCAAGCCUGAUGCAGCCAUGCCGGGUGUGUGAAGAAGGCCUUGGGGUUGUAAAGCACUUUCAGCGGGGAGGCGUUACCCGCAGAAGAAGCACCGGCUAACUCCGUGCCAGCAGCCGCGGUAAAC
rnacentral:rRNA from 1 species